CAUAAUUGUUCAUGUAAGUUGCUCUGGAUAAGAGCGUCUGCUAAAUGACUAGAU
rfam:Salmo salar isolate Sally breed double haploid chromosome ssa20, whole genome shotgun sequence.